GUCAGCACGAGUCAUCUGGUUCCAGUGACAAUGAAGACUGAGGUGUCUGCUUUGCAGUUUUUUCUUUUCUUUUCUUGUCUUUUUUUUUUUUUUCCUAAUCAUGUGGACAUCUCUGAGAAUGAGGGGACUGGGUGACUUUGCAGUGUCUGCUUUCUAAGUUUCAAAGUGACUUUCCAGGCAAGCUGCGCAUAUCUUGGGAUCUUCACAGCACAGUGGCUGGGAAGGCAGGCGGACCCGUCUAUCAGCUUCUCCCUGGUGGGAUUCUUGCGGGGGCAGGGAUCGAGUCAAACCUUGGAAAUGACGUCAUUCUGAACUCAUCUGCCUUUAUCCAGAAGACUACCAAAGCAAACCAGAGGACCAGAGAACAGCAGCUGCUCUGGACAAAGAGGGGAGGACACCCACACCCACAUACCAAGUUCUGGUUGACUUCUACAGCAGAAGAAGCAGGAGACACAAGAAGUCUCCUCAGAAGAACAUUGACCAGCACGCCUGCAUCCUUUCUGUUCUGACACACUUGUUACCUGGAUGACUUCUUUCUCAUCACCCACGUGCCAAGAGUGCCAUGUCUCAUCUGGACCAGAGACUCUGAGGAUCACACCAACAGAGACACAAAUGACACUUAAAGAAAGCCACAUCAGCUUUUACAACUUACCCCCCAAUACCGAAUGUCAUCAACUCAAUUUAAAUCAUUGGAUGGUUCUGUUCUCAGGGCCAGAGAGUUUCACUAAACUUCGUCGAACCCUUCGGUAUAACUGUCAACUGUGCAGAGUGUGCUUGGUGUCUGGAUUCUCAGCCUUCAGUGUAAUCAUGUUUACAUCCCCAGGUGUCAGAAAAUUCCCCCUGA
ensembl:processed_transcript Gm14005 predicted gene 14005